rnacentral:rRNA from 1 species
UGAGGAAUAUUGGUCAAUGGACGAGAGUCUGAACCAGCCAAGUAGCGUGCAGGAUGACGGCCCUAUGGGUUGUAAACUGCUUCUGUUUGGGAAUAAUCGACAUUACGUGUAAUGUUUUGCAUGUACCAUUCGAAUAAGGACCGGCUAAUUCCGUGCCAGCAGCCGCGGUAAUACGGAAGGUCCAGGCGUUAUCCGGAUUUAUUGGGUUUAAAGGGAGCGUAGGCUGGAGAUUAAGUGUGUUGUGAAAUGUAGACGCUCAACGUCUGAAUUGCAGCGCAUACUGGUUUCCUUGAGUACGCACAACGUUGGCGGAAUUCGUCGUGUAGCGGUGAAAUGCUUAGAUAUGACGAAGAACUCCGAUUGCGAAGGCAGCUGACGGGAGCGCAACUGACGCUUAAGCUCGAAGGUGCGGGUAUCAAACAGG